ensembl:snRNA U2 U2 spliceosomal RNA
GUCACUUCUUAGCCUUUUGGUUAAGAUCAAUUAUAAUGUCUGUUUUUAUCAUUUUAAUGUCUGAGAUGUCCUCCAUCUGAGGACAACAUAUUAAAUGGAUUUUUGGACAUAGGAGAUGAAAUAGGAGCUUGCUUCAUUCACUCUAUGAUAUUAUAGUACCUUUGGAAUGGUGCACCCCAA